GGGAGUGGAUGCGUUCCUGGUGGACGCCCUGGUCUUCAAAACCGGUGAGAGGCGCAAGUCUCUGGUGGGUUCGAUUCCCAUGCACUCCCGCCA
rnacentral:tRNA from 4 species